CAGCAGUCAAGAAUAUUAGUCAAUGCUCGUCAGAGUGAACUAGCUAACUAAAAUUUGGGUUGUGUCAUCCUAAAUAAGGUAAGGGAACAUUAUGAGAUUACUUUACUAACAGUGUCGUCCAAAUACUGGUGCCAGAAGACUCGGUAAGGCCAGAGACGCAAACGUUAGUCAUCUUUAACUGGCGUAAAGGGUUCGUAGGCAGUUUUUACAUGUAAGUAUGAAACUAGGAUUCAAUAGAAGUAAAAACGAAUCAUACUUUUUGUAGGGUUGAUAUCUGAAAAUAAAAAGUGGUAUACUUAAGGCGAAGGCUAUUUUACUAAUGAGAAUUGACGCUGAGGAACGAAGGUGUGGGUAGAAAAAAGGAUUAGAGACCCUAGUAUUCCACACUGACA
rnacentral:rRNA from 1 species